rnacentral:rRNA from 1 species
CCUACGGGAGGCAGCAGUAGGGAAUAUUGCUCAAUGGGGGAAACCCUGAACCAGCAACGCCGCGUGGAGGAUGAAGGUUUUCGGAUUGUACACUCCUUUUGUUAGAGAAGAUAAUGACGGUAUCUAACGAAUACACACCAGCUCACUCCGUGCCAGCAGCCGCGGUAAUACGGAGGGUGCAAGCGUUACUCGGAAUCACUGAGGGUAAAGCGCGCGUAGGCGGGAUAGCAAGUCAGAUGUGAAAUCCUAUGGCUUAACCAUAGAACUGCAGUUGAAACUGUUAUUCUAGAGUAUGGGAGAGGUAGGUGGAAUGCUUGGUGUAGGGGUAAAAUGCGUAGAGAUCAAGAGGAAUACUCAUUGCGAAGGCGACCUGCUAGAACGUAACUGACGCUGAUGCGCGAAAGCGUGGGGAGCAAACAGGAUUAGAUACCCGUGUAGUC